CCUGGGUCUGUGCAGUCACCAGCCAGUCCCCUGAGAACUUUCCCCUCCAGCACCCGGGAAAAUGGGAUUUUUGCUCCUUGUCAUUGUCGCUCUAGCAGCUUUGGAAGGUGUCCGGUCCCAGACGCUGGUGGAGUCCGGAGGGGGUGUGAAGAAGCCCGGAGACUCUCUCCGCCUCUCCUGCAAAGCCUCCGGGUUCACCUUCAGCAGCUACGGGAUGAGCUGGGUCCGCCAGGCUCCCGGGAAGGGAUUAGAAUGGGUCGCUUAUAUAAGCUACGAUGGGAGUAGUAUAGACUACCUCGAUGCAGUGAAAGGGCGAUUCACCAUCUCCAGGGAUAACGCCAAGAGUGAGCUGUAUCUGCAAAUGACCGGCCUGAAGCCCGAGGACACCGCCCGCUAUUACUGUGCGAGAGACACAGUGACACCAAACCGGUUUGUGAUCGUACAAAAACCCAGGCUGCGGAAUCGCCCUUCUCCCGGCGGCCGCGCGGGGGCAGCAGCGACACCCCCCGCUUCGGGCUCGGGCAGGAGACCCGGCACCCGGGGGAACGGGACACAAACCUCCCGCCAGUUUAACCCUUCCGUUCCCGGGCAAUGUGUCUCCCCUUCCUGCCCAGAGCCCCGCUGAGUGCACAGAUCCCUCGCUUCAUCUGUGAACCCCAAUCCGGAGUGAGUCCUGUUCUGAGUCGCUCUCCCCCCGCAGACCCGGUACGUUGGCUCCCGCUGGGCCAGUCUCGGUGUCAGACUCACAGGCCAGCGUCUGUCAGUGUAAAGGGGACAAGCGCGUUGGGGUUUGCAUCAGACCCAACGGGUGGAGAGAAUUGCUCCUGGGGCCAAAUCCUCCGCCAGUGUAAAGACACCGCAACUGCUUUCACUGGACUGGAGUUACUCCUGAUUUACACCAGGGAGGCUCUGGCCCUUUCAGCAAACUGGGAUGUUUAUCGCAUUAAUGCAGCGGAAGGUGAUUAGCUCGUUAUAACCGAUGUGAGGCCCCCAGGGCCAGUGCAAGGAUAAUUUUGCGCCCUGGGCGAAACUUCCACCUGGCGACCCUCCUCCCCGUCCCCCUCCACUGUGCCCCCC